rnacentral:lncRNA from 10 species
UAUAUAUGAAUUAAUCGGGAAACAUCAAUCAUGGGUUACCUAAAACAUUCUUCCAACCUGACUAUGUACUAGAAGGAGGCAGGUAGGAAUAGAGGGAUGGCAGAUGGCAAAGGGGACACAAAACAUUAGCCAGGCGUGGUGGUGCACGCCUGUAGUCACAGCUAUUCCCGAGACUGAAGCAGGAGGAUCACUUGAGCCUGGGAGAUCAAGGCUGCAGUGAGCCAUGAUUGCACCACUACACUUCAGACUGGGCAAGAGUCUCACAAAACAAAAACAAA